GCGGACGUGGUGGAAUUGGUAGACACACUGGAUUUAGGUUCCAGCGGCGCAAGCUGUGAGAGUUCGAGUCUCUCCGUCCGCACCA
rnacentral:tRNA from 3 species